rfam:TPA: Bos taurus chromosome 4, whole genome shotgun sequence.
UCCCUGGUGGCUCAAACAGUAAAGAAUUUGCCUGCAAUGCAGGAGACCCAGGUUCAAUCCCUGGAUUGGGAA